CGGCGUCCCCCAGCGAAUGUUCGUGUUUAAGGGGACGGUUUGAUCACGGCCAGCCACAUCGCAUAGCCGAACGCGGGCCGCCGGAUCCCUCCCAUGGUCUGAGCUUUUCCUUUUUACUUUUACGUGCAUGCCCUUCUCCCCCCGACCUUAUUCACCCGGGCUUCACAGCUUCACAUUUUCUUUUCCUUCUCUUUCCCGAUGAUCUAGGACUUCCUUAAGGGCAGAGAAGUUCCGGCUGCCCUUAAAGAAAAUCCUCUACCCAUCUUGACUUGUAGCUUCAUCAUUGCCGCUUGACUUGAAAUGAUACUUCCGGUGAUCAAUUCCGUCUUCCCAGUCCUCACUGUACUGCUCUUCACCUUACAAAACUAUCUCGCGACUGCUUUAUCAACCAAAUAGACAAUAGCGUCGGUUGUCGGUAAAAGAACUGAUGGCGGCAUGCUGAGCUGGGAAGAAUUCCUAGAGGUCUUCAUCUUUGGUACAGCGUCAUCGGCUUACCAAGUUGAAGGCAUGGCGCUCAAGGGGCAAUGGGCAAAGCAUUUGUGAAGCCUUCAUCUAGAUUCACGGAAAGAUAAAGAACAAUGGUGCUGCUGGAGUUACUAUGGAUGAGUACCACUGAUACAAAGUAUCUGUUCUUGUAGCUUAGCCCAAAUGUUUCUGCAUGCAUCUAUUUGGUAAAUGUUGUCCAUGUAAAUAUAGAUGAUAAUAUUUGUGGUUUUCCAGAAUCUUUAGAGUUGUUUCCAAUUAGAGUUAUAGAUUAUGGAAAUUUGAUGUCAAGUUUUGUGAUGCAGGAAGAUGUAAAUAUAAUGAAAAAUCUAAACUUUGACGCAUAUAGGUUCUCAGUUUAAUGAUUUCAGAUCUUUCCAAGCAAUUAUUGCUCCAACUUUUGUAUUUUUAUCAAAUCUAAAAGAAUUUAUUUAGAAUGGUGUUUUUUUAUGCCAACAUUUCGUUCCAAUAUGUUCUCAUUCAUGGGUGUUAAAAAGAGAAGCCAAACCUCUUUAUGGAUGAUUAGACUUUACUAAGAAUGUUCGAAUAUCCUAUAAUAAUCAAAGAAGGGUUCUCAAACCAAAGUUUGGCUAGGCUCAAUUGACUAAUGUGAUUUAUGGUUCUUAAAAUACUUAAUUAAACCUCCAAUAGUUAAGUUGUUAUCUCACUUUCACACUCUUGUUGAGCAUGUUUUUAGUGCAUUUGUUAUUUAGGGCUUUGCAGAGAUGCCACGAGAAUUUUGAUUUUAGAGAAUUGGAAGGGAAUUAUUGAUGAUCACUAUUUUAAAUUGAGAUUCAUCAAGGCACUGUGAUAUUUUUUAAUUGUAGAUACCUUUUGGUGUAUGGAUAUAUAAGCUAUUGUUCACUAACCUAUUUGCGUAAAAUUUUUGUAGAAGUUUGUGUUGCAACUCCCUCUGAGGACAUUCAAGUAUUGUUUACCAACCUAUUUGCAUAAAAUUUUAUAUAAUUUAGUUGUAUUUGUUUAGCACUUAGUUAAUAAACAACGAGCCUAGCUUCAUAUACAAUGCACAUUACCUAUCCUUGUUAUGUUUGCUUAAUAUCUAUAGAAGCUAUCUUGGGAAGGCUAAGUUCAAUGGUUUCUUAGAUUGAGUGGGUUAACCACAACUAUUUGUGCAUAUUGGUGGCAUACUUGAGGCUUCUACUUGUUUUCACAAUACAUACCAGCUUUUCAGCUUGGAAAACAAUUUUCUUAUUUUAUAUCUUUGCAUAGGUCUCCUAAAUCCCAAUUUGUCCAUGGAUGCUUUCUGGGACAUGAAGCAAUUCGUUGUAAUAAGCUUAGCGUUCAUUGAAAUUUUUAUUAUUUCAUACUUAGCUUUAGCUCUAGGCUUUGAAUUGAAUCUCAUAAACGACAACUCAGAAUUAUGUGAUGGUUCGAA